rnacentral:rRNA from 1 species
GACGGAGGGGGCAAGCGUUGUCCGGAAUCACUGGGCGUAAAGCGCGUGUAGGCGGUCGUGUGCGUCGGUGCUGAAAGCGCCCGGCUUAACCGGGCGAGGCGUGCCGAUACGAUGCGACUGGAGGCAGGCAGAGGGCGGCGGAAUUCCGGGUGGAGCGGUGAAAUGCGUAGAGAUCCGGAGGAACGCCAGUGGGGAAGCCGGCCACCUGGGCUCGGCCUGACGAUGCGGCGCGACCGCGUGGGGAGCAAACCGG